CCUCCUCUUCUCUCUCUCCUCUUCUCUCCCUCCACUUCUCUGCCUCCUCUUCUCUCCCUCCUCUUCUCUGCCUCCUCUUCUCUCCCUCAUCUUCUCUCCCUCCACUUCUGUCCCUCCACUUCUCUCCCUCCUCUUCUCUCUCUCCUCUUCUCUGCCUCCUCUUCUCUGCCUUCUUUCCUCUUCCCUCCACUUCCCUCCUUUUCUAUCUUCUUCUCUCCUCUUCCUCUCAUCUCCUCUUACCUCUCCCCACUCUUCAAUUCCACAUUGUUCCUACAGUGUAACGGAUACAGUGAAGUAAAAUGCAGGCAGGCAAGGCCCCAUCAAAGAAAAUGUUUUUAAAAAGCCAAGCCAAGUCUGAAUGUGCCCAGAGACAUGGCAUGUGUGCAACCUGUGUGUGGUUGGUGUGAGCCUCUCUCUCUCUCUCUCUCCUCUCUCUCUCCUCUCUCUCUCUGUUCUCUUAGCUUCUCUUAGCAGUUCUCUAUGCUUCUCUCAGCUGUUCUCUAUGCUUCUCUCAGCUGUUCUCUAUGUUUCUCUAAGCUGUUCUCUGUGCUUCUCUAAGCUGUUCUCUAUGUUUCUCUCAGCUGUUCUCUAUGUUUCUCUAAGCUGUUCUCUGUGCUUCUCUAAGCUGUUCUCUAUGUUUCUCUCAGCUGUUCUCUAUGUUUCUCUAAGCUGUUCUCUAUGCUUCUCUUAGCUGUUCUCUAUGCUUCUCUAAGCUGUUCUCUAUGUUUCUCUCAGCUGUUCUCUAUGCUUCUCUAAGCUGUUCUCUGUGCUUCUCUUAGCUGUUCUCUAUGCUUCUCUAAGCUGUUCUCUAGGCUUCUCUUAGCAGUUCUCUUCUCUAAGCUGUUCUCUAUGCUUCUCUUAGCUGUUCUCUAAAAU
ensembl:lncRNA